rnacentral:rRNA from 1 species
AGUGAACGCUGGCGGUAGGCCUAACACAUGCAAGUCGAACGGCAGCACAGUAAGAGCUUGCUCUUACGGGUGGCGAGUGGCGGACGGGUGAGGAAUACAUCGGAAUCUACUUUUUCGUGGGGGAUAACGUAGGGAAACUUACGCUAAUACCGCAUACGACCUACGGGUGAAAGCAGGGGAUCUUCGGACCUUGCGCGAUUGAAUGAGCCGAUGUCGGAUUAGCUAGUUGGCGGGGUAAAGGCCAACCAAGGCGACGAUCCGUAGCUGGUCUGAGAGGAUGACCACGCACAAUGAAACAGAGACACGGUCCAGACUCAGACGGAAGGCAGCAGUGGGGAAUAGUGGACAAUGGGAGCAAGCAUGAUCCAGCCAUACCGCGUGGGUGAAGAAGGCCUUCGGGUUGUAAAGCCCUUUUGUUGGAAAAGAAAAGCAGCAGGUUAAUACCCCGCUGUUCUGACGGUACCCAAAGAAUAAGCACCGGCGAACUUCG